ACGCUCGACACCUACGGGAGGCAGCAGUGGGGAAUAUUGCACAAUGGGGGAAACCCUGAUGCAGCGACGCCGCGUGAGUGAAGAAGUAUUUCGGUAUGUAAAGCUCUAUCAGCAGGGAAGAAAAUGACGGUACCUGACUAAGAAGCCCCGGCUAACUACGUGCUAGCAGCCGCGGUAAUCUGAGCGGCUGGCAAGGC
rnacentral:rRNA from 1 species